AACGAACGCUGGCGGCAUGCCUAACACAUGCAAGUCGAACGAGACCUUCGGGUCUACUGGCGCACGGGUGCGUAACGCGUGGGAACCUGCCCUUAGGCUCCGAAUAACUCCCCGUCAGGGGGGCUAAUACCGGGUAAUGUCCUCGGAUCACAGAUUUAUCGCCCUUGGAUGGGCCCGCGUGGGAUUAGCCAGUCGGUAGGGUAAAAGCCUACCAAGGCGACGCUCCAUAGCUGGGCUGAGAGGAUGGUCAGCCACACUGGGACUGGGACCCGGCGCGGACUCCUGCGGGAGGGAGGCGUGGGGGAUAUUGGAAUAUGGGGGGAGGGAUGAUGCAGCAAGGGCGGGUGAGUGAUGAAGUUCGGAGGGAAGUGCAGCUGGUUUACACGGGAUGGUACUGACGGUACCGGGAGAAUAAGCACCGGCUAACUCCGUG
rnacentral:rRNA from 1 species